rnacentral:rRNA from 1 species
UGGGGAAUCUUGCACAAUGGGGGCAACCCUGAUGCAGCGACGCCGCGUGAGCGAUGAAGCCCUUCGGGGCGUAAAGCUCUUUCGACCGGAACGAUAAUGACGGUACCGGGAGAAGAAGCUGCGGCUAACUACGUGCCAGCAGCCGCGGUAAUACGUAGGCAGCAAGCGUUGUUCGGAGUUACUGGGCGUAAAGCGUGCGUAGGCGGUUUUCUAAGUUCGGUGUGAAAUCUCCCGGCUUAACUGGGAGGGUGCGCCGAAGACUGGGAAGCUGGAUUGUGGGAAAGGCAGGCGGAAUUCCUGGUGUAUCGGUGAAAUGCGUAGAUAUCAGGAGGAACACCGGCGGUGUAGACGGCUUGCUAGACCAUAACUGACGCUGAGGCACGAAAGCGUGGGUAGCAAACA